UACGAAGGGGGCUAGCGUUGUUCGGAAUUACUGGGCGUAAAGCGCGCGCAGGCGGUCUUCCAAGUCAGUGGUGAAAGCCCGGAGCUCAACUCCGGAACUGCCAUUGAAACUGUGAGACUUGAGGAUGAGAGAGGUGAGUGGAAUUCCCAGUGUAGAGGUGAAAUUCGUAGAUAUUGGGAAGAACACCGGUGGCGAAGGCGGCUCACUGGACCGCAACUGACGCUGAGGCGCGAAAGCUAGGGGAGCAAACAGGG
rnacentral:rRNA from 1 species